rnacentral:lncRNA from 1 species
GAUUUACCAGCUAGGAACCCAGCACUACAAUGAGUUCCACAGUAACCAGAAAUAUUAUUAUAUCUCUCCAGGUCUGUCAGUGAGGUAAAAGGACACAUGUGGCAUGUGCUGCUGGGAUAUGUGUCUGGAACACUGCUGAAAAUCCAGGAGAAGCAAAGAAGCCAUUGGAUGGUUGCUGCUGAUUCUCUCUGUGACUGAAAGACAACUCUCGAUAAGAGAGAGUAAUGGACAAUGAAGGGCUUCUAGGGCUCUUCAGGCUACCAUGCAGUUUGUCUGCACCUGGCAAGAGUUUAGGAGAUGCACAUUUCUAUGACCAUUGCAGAGGACAUGAAUGACCAGUAAGAGUUUUCCUGCUUUUGGAGAUGGACCUCUGUGUGGAAAGAUCAAGAAAGGAAAGAGCCAAACAGUUCCUCAGCAUUUUCUGUCCUUGUAUUUGUGGCACCGACAUGGUGACUUUGGCUCAGACUCUGGCAGGGUUGAGGCAGGAUUCAACUCUUCGGAGCAGAAGCUGUUCAGCCUCAACAAAAUAAGGCUUUGAUUUUAUUUGGGGCCUCUAGACAUUAUCACAAUGGCAUUGUAAGCCCUUGUCCUGGCUUGCUGGGGGAACCACAGUGAUUCUUCUGACACCAUGGAGCAGUUUGUCACCUCCCUUCUGAAUUGUAGUGAGAAAAAAGACUUGUACAUUCUAUUUUGAGCUCUUCACUGGUUUGUUGUAUGUCCAUAAUUGCUACAGAACACCCUACCACAGAGAACAUGAAUGAGCGCAAAAGGGUUACUUAAGGGUAACUCUGAAAAAUAUCCUAAUAAAAUUAAAACCCUUCCAUAAAAUCUUAUGUAA